rnacentral:rRNA from 1 species
UGUGGUGACCUUGAAGCGGUGGACCGACCCGAUCCCAUCCCGAAUUCGGCCGUCAAACGCCGCGUUGCCGAUGGUAGUGCAUGUAUAGCUUGUGCGAGAGUAGGUAGUCGCCACAU